AUGUAUAUGCAUGUAUUCACCACUAAAGGGCAGCAUUACUGUAGAAUAUCAUCACUGACUGACCAGCAUGACCAGCUGAGAACACUGUACUGUAGAAUAUCAUCACUGACUGACCAGCAUGACCAGCUGAAAACACUGUACUGUAGAAUCCAACCACUGACUGACCAGCUGAGAACACUGUGCUGUAGAAUAUCAUCACUGACUGACCAGCAUGACCAGCUGAAAACACUGUACUGUAGAUUCGCACCACUGACAGACCAGCAUGACCAGCUGAGAACACUGUACUGUAGAAUCCAACCACUGACAGACCAGCUGAGAACACUGUACUGUAGAAUCUCACCACUGACUGACCAGCAUGACCAGCUGAAAACACUGUACUGUAGAAUCCAACCACUGACUGACCAGCUGAGAACACUGUACUGUAGAAUCUCACCACUGACUGACCAGCAUGACCAGCUGAAAACACUGUACUGUAGAAUCCAACCACUGACUGACCAGCUGAGAACACUGUACUGUAGAAUCCCACCACUGACUGACCAGCAUGACCAGCUGAAAACACUGUACUGUAGAUUCGCACCACUGACAGACCAGCAUGACCAGCUGAAAACACUGUACUGUAGAAUCCCACCACUGACUGACCAGCUGAGAACACUGUACUGUAGAAUCCCACCACUGACUGACCAGCUGAGAACACUGUACUGUAGAAUCCCACCACUGACUGACCAGCUGAGAACACUGUACUGUAGAAUCCCACCACUGACUGACCAGCAUGACCAGCUGAAAACACUGUACUGUAGAAUCCCACCACUGACAGACCAGCUGAGAACACUGUACUGUAAAAUCCCACCACUGACUGACCAGCAUGACCAGCUGAAAACACUGUACUGUAGAAUCCCACCACUGACAGACCAGCUGAGAACACUGUACUGUAAAAUCCCACCACUGACUGACCAGCAUGACCAGCUGAAAACACUGUACUGUAGAAUCCCACCACUGACUGACCAGCUGAGAACACUGUACUGUAGAAUCCCACGACUGACUGACCAGCAUGACCAGCUGAAAACACUGUACUGUAGAAUCCCACCACUGACUGACCAGCUGAGAACACUGUACUGUAGAAUCCCACCACUGACUGACCAGCUGAGAACACUGUACUGUAGAAUCCCAUAA
rnacentral:lncRNA from 1 species